CGGACACGAAAGCAAGCGAAUAAUACAACCGUGUCGAAAGUCACUAGGAAGAAGAAACGGGCCUCUGACUCUGAGAGCCGUCUGCCCAGGCAGCUGCGCGGAGCGUUAGAAAAACAGAACGUUGUCAAAGAUCCGAACGGAAACCCAAGGUCCACCACCAGGCUACGUCUUCGUUCCGAAGGGCGACGUCUAUUGUGGCGGACGUAAAGCUUGCGAAAACAGAAUUUUCUGCCACCCCCUGAAAAAUAAUAGCAAAACACUGCAAAAAUAACCAAAAUAUCCACAUAUCUCUAGAAUCAUUCAAAUAUCAUCCAAUUCAUCCAAAUACACACCUUUAUCAUCAAAUAUGCAUCUUUAUCAUCAAAUACACAUCUUUAUCAUCAAAUACAUCAAUAUGCUCUGCAACACCCACUGUUCUACUGUCUUGCAAGCUUGUAAAGAGACUUCAACUACUCUUCACCUUCAUCUGCUCAAAUCAUCUGUUCUGAAUGUUUCAGAUAAUGAUGAGAAUCCAAUUGAUGAUGA
rnacentral:sRNA from 1 species